AAAAAUUGGUGUCGUAUAUAAUAUUUGGAUAGUUUUCCGUUUUGAAAUGAAAGAAAAUGUAUCCCAAAAAAUCUGGUGACAUCGUGAGGGUUAAUUAAGGGCCGAAGCCCCAAGGGUCCUGUAACGAGUACAUAAAAUAGAGGUGUCAAUUAGGACGAUCGGAUCGGGUUUGAUGAGGUUGGGUCGGGUCGAGUUAAUUUUUAAAAUUGAAUCAUGUUAAAUUAUUGUGUUAACGCGAGUCGAAAUCUAAAUCAGAUAUUUUUAGGGUCGAUUUCUGGAGUGUGAUUUUGACACCUAAAAGUAUAAAAAAUAAGUUGCCAAACUGGCAAACUCAUCUACUGUCUCACUACUUGUCCAUUGACAUUUCUUCUUUUUCGUCAACCUUUCUCUCUCUAUAAAAUAGUGAGGAAUUGAAGAAGAAAAAUCAGUAAAAAUUUGAAAAUGGUGGUAGAAUUGUUUGUGUUAGGAUGCACUGGUAUGGUAAUGUUCUUUCAUGGUGCUCAUGUUCUCUUCCAUGUCCUCUCUUCUCAUGUUGCUCUUCGUUCUCUCAGUUUCCUUGGAUUUGUUGGAUGGUGAAUUCAACAGAUGAGAGGUGGUGAUCAGAAAAUAAAAUUAGUUUUGUAGAUAACCAUUUUGUAUUAUUGGAUUAAUAACUAUAAUAUUCUUAUUUUGUAGGACUAAGUAAUAAAAACCAUGGAUUAUAAGCCAUUUGAAAAAAAAAACAUUUGGUACAAUAAAUGUCAUUCUAACGAUUUCAUCCUUAAUAUAUAAUAUGUUUUUUAUGGGUA